AAUCUUCUAUGUAGCAAUCAUACCACGUCUCUCAUAUCCUAACCAAUCAUAUUCUUCUAUCUGAGAGAAAAGUACAAUAUAAAUAUUUUCUAAAGAGCCAUUAUGGCAUGUAUAAAACUUUAGAGACUAAGGCUUCGUUUGGGAUUGCGGGGAGAUUGCGUUACGUGCGGUGAGAAAGUACGUUGGAAAAAUAUCCUGUUUGUUUCCGUACGUAAUAUUGUGUUCCGCAUAUUGCGAAGAGUCGGUUACGAUAUAUUUUCUGCGGUUCCACCGGAGAACGCAGAAGUAUAUCCCUAUAUGCUUUUUCUCCAACUCCAUUUUAUCUAACAGCAUUUCAUAGGCCUCAAUACCAAACUAAACCUAAAUAUGAUUAGUUGGAGAUGCCACAUUAUUCAUGCAACCAUCACAUUUUAGAUAUUUUUCGUUCGCCACCCAACAC
rnacentral:lncRNA from 1 species